rnacentral:tRNA from 1 species
GAGCGCGUAGCUCAGCGGCAGAGCAUCUGACUUUUAAUCAGAGGGUCGAGGGUUCGAUCCCCUCCGCGCUCACCA